rnacentral:rRNA from 1 species
CUCUUUAAACAGAUAGGUAGACUCUGUUUCGUCGAAUGUGCUCUGACCCAGGAUUACUGACAAACGUUUUCUACCUCUCGGAUGUUUAGAGCGAACUUCUUUUUUAUAAAGUUUGCCUUUCUCUCUAGAGAGGUCCUUUAAUAAUCACUACAAGGUUAUCCACAAUUAUUCGUAGUUACCCUCUGAGAUCAACCUUACACCACGGUCCUAAGUGUGUACCAAUAAUAGAGUAGGAGAGUACGAGUUUGACUUGAGGUUUUAAUCAAACGAUUGUAACGCACAGACGUAGAUUAAACAAACGUCUUCAAUACGCUCUUUUUGUGUCUCACACGCUUCGUUGUCUUCUUAGGUGUGUGUUGGCCCUCUUUUUCGGUACGGUCCGAUGUUUUUCUCUACCUUUAGUUUUCCUUUCGUGGCUAGGUGUUCUAACUGGAUACCCUACUUCGAGUAUUCUUUUUUCUACCGUUAAUGUGUUCGCUGUUACACUUCUGUUAUUACCAUGUAAGAUGAAUAAAACAGAUGUCAGGUUGUAUGUUAGAUAAGGUAUCAUAUCAUUACUUAAUUAUUAAUAAGGAUAAGUUAUCCUACGUCGAUUACUCCUCAAUUUUUUUUCCUUUUAGCUAGUAUUACCAUCGGAAAGGUAACUGCUAAUAUGACUUCGGAAAUUUCCACGUGAACUAUUUUCCCGUUUUGAAGCUCCAAUGAUACUACUUUUCAUAACCUCGCCUCAUUUACAAAGAGUCCCUUAUUGAAAACAACCCUUUAGACUAGUUCUUUUAGAAGUCAAACUUCAUGCGUACCACUUUCUAUUA